rnacentral:rRNA from 2 species
UACGAAGGGGGCUAGCGUUGUUCGGAAUCACUGGGCGUAAAGGGCGCGUAGGCGGCCAAAUAAGUCGGGGGUGAAAGCCUGUGGCUCAACCACAGAAUUGCCUUCGAUACUGUUUGGCUCGAGACCGGAAGAGGUAAGUGGAACUGCGAGUGUAGAGGUGAAAUUCGUAGAUAUUCGCAAGAACACCAGUGGCGAAGGCGGCUUACUGGUCCGGUUCUGACGCUGAGGCGCGAAAGCGUGGGGAGCAAACAGG